GCUCAGAUUGAACGCUGGCGGCAGGCCUAACACAUGCAAGUCGAGCGGUAGAGAGAAGCUUGCUUCUCUUGAGAGCGGCGGACGGGUGAGUAAUGCCUAGGAAUCUGCCUAGUGGUGGGGGAUAACGUUCGGAAACGGACGCUAAUACCGCAUACGUCCUACGGGAGAAAGCGGGGGACCUUCGGGCCUCGCGCCAUUAGAUGAGCCUAGGUCGGAUUAGCUAGUUGGUGAGGUAAUGGCUCACCAAGGCUACGAUCCGUAACUGGUCUGAGAGGAUGAUCAGUCACACUGGAACUGAGACACGGUCCAGACUCCUACGGGAGGCAGCAGUGGGGAAUAUUGGACAAUGGGCGAAAGCCUGAUCCAGCCAUGCCGCGUGUGUGAAGAAGGUCUUCGGAUUGUAAAGCACUUUAAGUUGGGAGGAAGGGUAGUAACUUAAUACGUUGCUACUUUGACGUUACCGACAGAAUAAGCACCGGCUAACUUCGUGCCAGCAGCCGCGGUAAUACGAAGGGUGCAAGCGUUAAUCGGAAUUACUGGGCGUAAAGCGCGCGUAGGUGGUUCAGUAAGUUGGAUGUGAAAUCCCCGGGCUCAACCUGGGAACUGCAUCCAAAACUGCUGAGCUAGAGUACGGUAGAGGGUAGUGGAAUUUCCUGUGUAGCGGUGAAAUGCGUAGAUAUAGGAAGGAACACCAGUGGCGAAGGCGACUACCUGGACUGAUACUGACACUGAGGUGCGAAAGCGUGGGGAGCAAACAGGAUUAGAUACCCUGGUAGUCCACGCCGUAAACGAUGUCAACUAGCCGUUGGGAGUCUUGAACUCUUAGUGGCGCAGCUAACGCAUUAAGUUGACCGCC
rnacentral:rRNA from 1 species